GCCCAGAUAGCUCAGUCAGUAGAUCAUAAGACUUUUAAUCUAAUGGUCCAGGGUUCAAGUCCUUGUUUGGGCA
rnacentral:tRNA from 1 species